ACAUACAGCUUCAAGCUUAUGAUUUUAUCCAGAGCAAUCCUGAACAAUAUGAACUUACUUCAAAAAGGAGUUUAUUCACUACAAUCCAUUUACAAUGAAAAAUCUUCCAAAUCUUUUCCACAGUCGCAUAUCCAUAAUUCCCUCUGUAUAAAUAUUCAUGUGCUGUGAAUAAGAUGUAAAAGACAUUGUGCUAUUUUUCAAUAUUUACUCUAGAAUUAGAUCCGCAUAGGUGCUUGUUCUAUGACAAAAGAUAAGAGCUUGCACUCGCAUCAAAGAUUUCUUUUAAAUAGAUCAUAAAAUCCAUUGUGAAUAUUUAAGCCAAGAGUAAUAACAUGGUGUCAUAUACUCACAGUAUAAUGCAGCAACACUCUGCAUUUUGACAUCUGCCCAGACAGAUGUUUAGAACGAAGUUCCUCAGAUUCUUUCUUCUUUCUUUAUUUAUUUAAGUUGCAUGGAAAAAAUCUGGGAAUCAUCUUUUAUAUCGAAGCUACUUAGUACAAUUUAACUGUCAACAGUUUAAUUAAUUUAAAUGUAGACUUACUGUGGAAGCCAACAACACACACAAGCCUUCCACAAAAAAAAAUACAGGGGGGGAAAAAGAGCAAAGCCUCCCAAAAUGUUGCCAGCAAGAUCCUGACCUCACAAAAGAUAUGGCUACGGUCACAAGAUACGCAGAGAUCAGCCCUCUAAAAUCACGCAAAUGACUGGUAUAACUUUCUGCUCACAUGCAAUCUCAGCUCUGGCCGUUAAUAGAUGUUUUGCCACUACUUUCCUUCGGAAGGACGAUGCCGAUUGUUCACCCCUUUUGCCCAAAGAGAGCAGGCAGGGUUGUAACCGCCCUCCCUCUCACAGGAGAGCUGUGCCCUGGAUUUUAAAGUGUUUUGUCAAGGAAGAGAGAUGUCCCUCCAGCACCUGCAGUACAUAAACGAGGCAAGGUGACCUCCCAGCCCUGACCUGACCUGCAGAGAGGAGACUGAAGGAGGUUCCCAGCACAAAGGUCUCUUCUCUGGCUGUUCCCAUCACACCCAGCUCCUCACUCCAAUGGGAACUCCCAGCAAAGCAUCUCUUGCACUUUUUGGUCACUCCCUGUCCGCGAUCCCCAAGCGGAGCUGAAGGCCACCACCAUCACCGAGUUCCUGAGCUGCUGGUGGGCACCAGCUUGGCACAGCCUCCAGCCACCAUGGGAUGGUGGCCUCUGCUAGACUAGCAUAGUGGCACCCAUGGAGAGGUAGGUCACCUCUCGAGCCACCACUGCCACAUUCAGAAAGUCAAGGACAGAUGUUAAAUGGAGCUGAGCCUUUACCUCUCAUUUUCGGCCCAUUCUGGCCUGGACAGGGACACUGACUCAGGAGAGCAGCUGGUCAUGUUUGGGCAAAAAUCCCACGACAAGCACUUACAGCCUUCCCCCAUCGUCCCAUUGAAAUGCAAGCCCUGGCUCUGAUUCACCAGCCUGGCAACUCCCCAAACUCAGCAGAAAGCUAAAUCUGGGUGCAAACCUGGGCUCUGCCACCUCAGCACCUCUCUAAUUACUGAGAAAGAACAGCAGUGGAAAUAGCAGAAUACUAAUGAGUUCCAAUAAGGGAAACAUUUUGUAAGAGGAAAACGAGGUUAGAGGGAGGACUAAUUUGCCAGGUAGGAGGUUUUAAUGCCAUCAGGGA
rnacentral:lncRNA from 1 species